rnacentral:misc_RNA from 1 species
GAUGAAGAACAUAGCAAAAUGCGAUAAGUAAUGUGAAUUGCAGAAUUCAGUGAAUCAUCGAAUCUUUGAACGCACAUUGCGCCCGCUGGUAUUCCGGCGGGCAUGCCUGUUCGAGCGUCAUUUCAACCCUCAAGCCCCCGGGUUUGGUGUUGGGGAUCGGCUCUGCCCUUCUGGGCGGUGCCGCCCCCGAAAUACAUUGGCGGUCUCGCUGCAGCCUCCAUUGCGUAGUAGCUAACACCUCGCAACUGGAACGCGGCGCGGCCAUGCCGUAAAACCCCAACUUCUGAAUGUUGACCUCGGAUCAGGUAGGAAUACCCGCUGAACUUAAGCAUAUCAAUAAGCGGAGGA